rnacentral:rRNA from 1 species
CGGAGGAUCCAAGCGUUAUCCGGAAUCAUUGGGUUAAAGGGUCCGUAGCGGGUUUAUAAGUCAGUGGUGAAAGCCCAUCGCUCAACGAUGGAACGGCCAUUGAUACUGUAGAUCUUGAAUUAUUAGGAAGUAACUAGAAUAUGUAGUGUAGCGGUGAAAUGCUUAGAGAUUACAUGGAAUACCAAUUGCGAAGGCAGGUUACUACUAAUGGAUUGACGCUGAUGGACGAAAGCGUGGGUAGCGAACAGGAUUAGAUACCCUGGUAGUCCACGCCGUAAACGAUGGAUACUAGCUGUUCGGAGCAAUCUGAGUGGCUAAGCGAAAGUGAUAAGUAUCCCACCUGGGGAGUACGUUCGCAAGAAUG